UGCAAAGGUGUGCACACUACU
rnacentral:siRNA from 1 species